rnacentral:rRNA from 1 species
UGGGGAAUAUUGGACAAUGGACCAAGAGUCUGAUCCAGCAAUUCUGUGUGCACGAUGAAGUUUUUCGGAAUGUAAAGUGCUUUCAGUUGGGAAGAAAGAAAUGACGGUACCAACAGAAGAAGUGACGGCUAAAUACGUGCCAGCAGCCGCGGUAAUACGUAUGUCACAAGCGUUAUCCGGAUUUAUUGGGCGUAAAGCGCGUCUAGGUGGUUAUGUAAGUCUGAUGUGAAAAUGCAGGGCUCAACUCUGUAUUGCGUUGGAAACUGUAUAACUAGAGUACUGGAGAGGUAAGCGGAACUACAAGUGUAGAGGUGAAAUUCGUAGAUAUUUGUAGGAAUGCCGAUGGGGAAGCCAGCUUACUGGACAGAUACUGACGCUGAAGCGCGAAAGCGUGGGUAGCAAACAGGAUUAGAUACCCUGGUAGUCCAUGCCGUAAACGAUGAUUACUAGGUGUUGGGGGUCGAACCUCAGCGCCCAAGCAAACGCGAUAAGUAAUCCGCCUGGGGAGUACGUACGCAAGUAUG